rnacentral:rRNA from 1 species
GAUGAACGCUGGCGGCGUGCUUAACACAUGCAAGUCGAACGAUGAAGCCCAGCUUGCUGGGUGGAUUAGUGGCGAACGGGUGAGUAACACGUGAGUAACCUGCCCCUGACUCUGGGAUAAGCCCGGGAAACUGGGUCUAAUACUGGAUAUGACCUGUCACCGCAUGGUGGUGGGUGGAAAGAUUUUUUGGUUGGGGAUGGACUCGCGGCCUAUCAGCUUGUUGGUGAGGUAGUGGCUCACCAAGGCGACGACGGGUAGCCGGCCUGAGAGGGUGACCGGCCACACUGGGACUGAGACACGGCCCAGACUCCUACGGGAGGCAGCAGUGGGGAAUAUUGCACAAUGGGCGCAAGCCUGAUGCAGCGACGCCGCGUGAGGGAUGACGGCCUUCGGGUUGUAAACCUCUUUCAGUAGGGAAGAAGCCUUUGGGUGACGGUACCUGCAGAAGAAGCGCCGGCUAACUACGUGCCAGCAGCCGCGGUAAUACGUAGGGCGCAAGCGUUAUCCGGAUUUAUUGGGCGUAAAGAGCUCGUAGGCGGUUUGUCGCGUCUGCCGUGAAAGUCCGGGGCUUAACUCCGGAUCUGCGGUGGGUACGGGCAGACUAGAGUGCAGUAGGGGAGACUGGAAUUCCUGGUGUAGCGGUGAAAUGCGCAGAUAUCAGGAGGAACACCGAUGGCGAAGGCAGGUCUCUGGGCUGUAACUGACGCUGAGGAGCGAAAGCAUGGGGAGCGAACAGGAUUAGAUACCCUGGUAGUCCAUGCCGUAAACGUUGGGCACUAGGUGUGGGGGACAUUCCACGUUUUCCGCGCCGUAGCUAACGCAUUAAGUGCCCCGCCUGGGGAGUACGGCCGCAAGGCUAAAACUCAAAGGAAUUGACGGGGGCCCGCACAAGCGGCGGAGCAUGCGGAUUAAUUCGAUGCAACGCGAAGAACCUUACCAAGGCUUGACAUGGACUGGAUCGCCGCAGAGAUGUGGUUUCCCUUCGGGGCUGGUUCACAGGUGGUGCAUGGUUGUCGUCAGCUCGUGUCGUGAGAUGUUGGGUUAAGUCCCGCAACGAGCGCAACCCUCGUUCCAUGUUGCCAGCGGGUUAUGCCGGGGACUCAUGGGAGACUGCCGGGGUCAACUCGGAGGAAGGUGAGGACGACGUCAAAUCAUCAUGCCCCUUAUGUCUUGGGCUUCACGCAUGCUACAAUGGCCGGUACAAAGGGUUGCGAUACUGUGAGGUGGAGCUAAUCCCAAAAAGCCGGUCUCAGUUCGGAUUGGGGUCUGCAACUCGACCCCAUGAAGUCGGAGUCGCUAGUAAUCGCAGAUCAGCAACGCUGCGGUGAAUACGUUCCCGGGCCUUGUACACACCGCC